ACGAACGCUGGCGGCAUGCCUAACACCUGCCAGUCGCACGAGACCUUCGGGUCUAGUGGCGCACGGGUGCGUCACGCGUGGGAACCUGCCCUUAGGUUCGGAAUAACUCCCCGAAAGGGGUGCUAAUACCGGAUAAUGUCUUCGGACCAAAGAUUUAUCGCCUUUGGAUGGGCCCGCGUUGGAUUAGCUAGUUGGUAGGGUAAAAGCCUACCAAGGCGACGAUCCAUAGCUGGUCUGAGAGGAUGAUCAGCCACACUGGGACUGAGACACGGCCCAGACUCCUACGGGAGGCAGCAGUGGGGAAUAUUGGACAAUGGGCGAAAGCCUGAUCCAGCAAUGCCGCGUGAGUGAUGAAGGCCUUAGGGUUGUAAAGCUCUUUUACCCGGGAUGAUAAUGACAGUACCGGGAGAAUAAGCUCCGGCUAACUCCGUG
rnacentral:rRNA from 1 species